UACGUGAUUGUGUGAGUGUGUGUGUGUGUGUGCGUGUGUGUAGAUAUAAUUUAAUAAUACCAUAUACGUACAUGCAUAUGUAUGUGUAUAUAUAUAUAUACAUAUACAGACAAACACACACAUACACACACACACAUCCAUCCACCCAUCCAUACAUUCAUACAUCUAUCUAUCUAUAUAUAUAUAUAUUGCACCUUGUUUACCAUUUUGUCCUUGUUCUUUUGCCACGUCAUGUACCCAGUUAUGUAUCUAUAUGCACAUGUAGAUGAACGUAUAUACAUACAUGUACAUAUAUAUGCAUAUACUCAUAUAUUGUUUAUAUAUAUAUAUAUAUUUAUAUAUGCGUGUGUAUGUAUAUAAAUAUAUAUGUGUGUGUGCGAACGUUUAUUUGUAUGUGUGUAGAGAUAAUUAAACACACACAUAUGCACAUAUAUUUAUGUAAAUCCAUAUAUGAACAUUCACGUACACUGAUUUAUUGUAUUUGCAUGUAAUGUAUGCAUAUACAGAAAUAUAUGCAGAUGCCAUAUAUACAUACGUACAUAUACAUACACACACACACACACUCACACAUAUAGUAUGCAUUAUACUCCCACAUGUACACAUUCGCAAAAACACUGUCACACGUACAUUCACAUUUUCUGCAACAUUGUAAUUCGGUCACCGUCUGAAAAUUAUACGUUGUCGCAGAAAAAACAAGCGUGUGAUAAUAUAAACAACAUGCGGUGAUGCGACUUGCCUUUACAUGAAUUGAAGCAAUAUGCGAGAAUGCAAUGUCGCUACUGAAAAAACACUAGGAUGCAAACUUUCUAUUUAUGCCUUCAUGUCUGUGGCUACAGUGAAUUAUGGAAGAAGAUAUUUUGAGUAAUGAAUUACAAACACACUUAUUAUAAAUACGAUAUGUAUUAAAGAAUAACAAUAGCUUGAUCAUUUAAAAGAUCUCAAUGUAGCAUAAUAUUGAUAAUAAAAUUGAUAAAAUUGCAUCCAAGAUAUUUCCGAAGUUCUCAUACAUAAAAUGAUCGUGUAUACUGAUGUAUUAAUGGGUAUCGUAUCGAAUAAAGUAAGAGUUACGAUAAAAAGGAAUGUUAUAGACUGACAGCAGUUAUUAGAUCUAUUUGAAGACAAUACUAUAGCUUGCUUUUGGACCUUGGAGGUUAAACAUGCAAAAAAUUGAAUAUUUAAAAUUAUUAAUUUUCAAGCAGUUAACUUGGGAUGAGUUGGGAAUUGAAAAGUACAGUAAGACAUUGAGGCAUCAGAAGUUCGACUGACAACAAUCAACACCAAGUGUAAUCAUUUGUAACUUGAGCCAGGCACUCAAUAAUAUGUUACCAUAUCUGUGAAACGGGGUGAAACAAUCGGGAAUCACACAUGAGUUUCUUAGUUUGUUAGUUUCAUUCUUCCAUUCUUUCUUUCUUCGUCUAUUUUAUGUUUAUUUUCAUUCUUUUU